UACGUAGGUGGCGAGCGUUAUCCGGAAUUAUUGGGCGUAAAGCGCGCGCAGGCGGUUCCUUAAGUCUGAUGUGAAAGCCCACGGCUCAACCGUGGAGGGUCAUUGGAAACUGGGGAACUUGAGUGCAGAAGAGAAGAGCGGAAUUCCACGUGUAGCGGUGAAAUGCGUAGAGAUGUGGAGGAACACCAGUGGCGAAGGCGGCUCUUUGGUCUGUAACUGACGCUGAGGCGCGAAAGCGUGGGAGCAAACAGG
rnacentral:rRNA from 1 species